rnacentral:rRNA from 1 species
GAGUGGCGGACGGGUGAGUAACACGUGGGUAACCUGCCCUAAAGUGGGGGAUAACAUUUGGAAACAGAUGCUAAUACCGCAUAAAACCUAACACCGCAUGGUGUAGGGUUGAAAGAUGGUUUCGGCUAUCACUUUAGGAUGGACCCGCGGUGCAUUAGUUAGUUGGUGAGGUAAAGGCUCACCAAGACCGUGAUGCAUAGCCGACCUGAGAGGGUAAUCGGCCACACUGGGACUGAGACACGGCCCAGACUCCUACGGGAGGCAGCAGUAGGGAAUCUUCCACAAUGGACGAAAGUCUGAUGGAGCAACGCCGCGUGAGUGAAGAAGGUUUUCGGAUCGUAAAACUCUGUUGUUGGAGAAGAAUGUAUCUGAUAGUAACUGAUCAGGUAGUGACGGUAUCCAACCAGAAAGCCACGGCUAACUACGUGCCAGCAGCCGCGGUAAUACGUAGGUGGCAAGCGUUGUCCGGAUUUAUUGGGCGUAAAGCGAGCGCAGGCGGUUUCUUAAGUCUGAUGUGAAAGCCUUCGGCUCAACCGAAGAAGUGCAUCGGAAACUGGGAAACUUGAGUGCAGAAGAGGACAGUGGAACUCCAUGUGUAGCGGUGAAAUGCGUAGAUAUAUGGAAGAACACCAGUGGCGAAGGCGGCUGUCUGGUCUGUAACUGACGCUGAGGCUCGAAAGCAUGGGUAGCAAACAGGAUUAGAUACCCUGGUAGUCCAUGCCGUAAACGAUGAGUGCUAGGUGUUGGAGGGUUUCCGCCCUUCAGUGCCGCAGCUAACGCAUUAAGCACUCCGCCUGGGGAGUACGACCGCAAGGUUGAAACUCAAAGGAAUUGACGGGGGCCCGCACAAGCGGUGGAGCAUGUGGUUUAAUUCGAAGCAACGCGAAGAACCUUACCAGGUCUUGACAUCCUUUGACCACUCUAGAGAUAGAGCUUUCCCUUCGGGGACAAAGUGACAGGUGGUGCAUGGUUGUCGUCAGCUCGUGUCGUGAGAUGUUGGGUUAAGUCCCGCAACGAGCGCAACCCUUAUUACUAGUUGCCAGCAUUUAGUUGGGCACUCUAGUGAGACUGCCGGUGACAAACCGGAGGAAGGUGGGGACGACGUCAAAUCAUCAUGCCCCUUAUGACCUGGGCUACACACGUGCUACAAUGGAUGGUACAACGAGUUGCGAGACCGCGAGGUUUAGCUAAUCUCUUAAAACCAUUCUCAGUUCGGAUUGUAGGCUGCAACUCGCCUACAUGAAGCCGGAAUCGCUAGUAAUCGCGGAUCAGCAUGCCGCGGUGAAUACGUUCCCGGGCCUUGUACACACCGCCCGUCACACCAUGAGAGUUUGUAACACCCAAAGCCGGUGAGGUAACCCUUCGGGGAGCCAGCCGUCUAA